rnacentral:tRNA from 1 species
UCGCCACUGGCUCAGUCAGUAGAGCAUGUGACUCUUGAUCUCAGGGUCAUGAGUUUGAGCCCCAAGUUGCGUG